GACGAACGCUGGCGGCGUGCCUAAUACAUGCAAGUCGAACGCAUUUUCUUUCACCGUAGCUUGCUACACCGAAAGAAAAUGAGUGGCGAACGGGUGAGUAACACGUGGGUAACCUGCCCAUCAGCGGGGGAUAACACUUGGAAACAGGUGCUAAUACCGCAUAAUUCCAUUUACCGCAUGGUAGAUGGAUGAAAGGCGCUUUUGCGUCACUGAUGGAUGGACCCGCGGUGCAUUAGCUAGUUGGUGGGGUAACGGCCUACCAAGGCUGCGAUGCAUAGCCGACCGGAGAGGGUGAUCGGCCACACUGGGACUGAGACACGGCCCAGACUCCUACGGGAGGCAGCAGUAGGGAGUCUUCGGCAAUGGACGCAAGUCUGACCGAGCAACGCCGCGUGAGGGAAGAAGGUUGUCGGAUCGUAAAACUCUGUUGUUAGAGAAGAACAAGGAUGAGAGUGGAAAGUUCAUCCCUUGACGGUAGCUAACCAGAAAGCCACGGCUAACUACGUG
rnacentral:rRNA from 1 species